UACAGAGGUGGCAAGCGUUGUUCGGAAUUACUGGGCGUAAAGGGCGCGUAGGCGGUCUUGUAAGUCUUGUGUGAAAUCCCUCGGCUUAACUGAGGAACUGCACGGGAUACUGCGAGACUUGAGAUCGGGAAAGGGAAGCGGAAUUCCGGGUGUAGCGGUGAAAUGCGUAGAUAUCCGGAGGAACACCGGUGGCGAAGGCGGCUUCCUGGACCGACACUGACGCUGAGGCGCGAAAGCUAGGGGAGCAAACGGG
rnacentral:rRNA from 1 species